rnacentral:tRNA from 1 species
GGGACUUUAGUUUAGUUGGUAAAACAUUAGCUUUGCAAGCUAAAUAUCAGGAGUUCAAGUCUCCUAAGUUCCA